AUGGUGGUGCAUGGGCCCCAAUUAGCACACAGUGUGGACACGUUACUGAGACCUGAAGUCCGCACUUUAUCCAGAUUUCCUAGUUCCCUCCCAAUGGCCUUCUUCCCUCUGGGGCCCCGUCCGGGACACCCCGUUACCGUCGUCGUCCUGCCUCCUGCGGCCCCUCUGGCUGGACGGUGUCUAGGGGCCCUGGCCAGGGGUCUGCAGGGCGUCCCUUGCUGGGCUUGGCCUGAUGCUUCCCCGGCACCCAGCCCAGGGGGGCGGCCAAGGACGUUUGUGCUGUGGCUCAGGGAGGACGCUGGGCGGGGGCCAGGGACGAGGGGGCCUGGUCGGGGCUGUGGGGAGCGCGCUCGCACUCCUGCUUGUCCGUCUCUGCUGUGUGUGCACAGGCCACCCCGGGAGGUCACACAGACGCUGGUGACUGUGGGGUUGGGGACAGAUGCGGGUCCCUGCAGAUGGGGCGGAGAUGUGCCGUCCGCUGCGCUGUCGAGGACAGAUGCUGACUCUGUGCGGAUCCGCCUGAAAAGCCCAGGAGACAGAGGGAGCUGCACAAGUGCUCCCGGGGGCCCAGGGGAGGAGCCGGGGGCAUGGGCGGUGCCUCGGGCCCACAGCAUUCACCUCCUAGGAGGGGAGGAAAGGCAGCCCGGGCGGCUCGGAGCCCCUCCAGGAGCCGGGUGUCUGCGAGGCCCCCGGGCAGGGUCUCGGCUCCCCUCCUCUGUCCCCAGUUUGCUCUUCUGUGGACUGGGGGUGUCGGGAGCCCCUGAGCUCCAGGGCUGCUGUGAGGAACACUGUGGCUCUGCCCAUCUAGAGCUCGUGAGGCGUGCUCUUCACCCUGCGAAUAAAGUGGCUCCCACUCCCCAUAGCCCACAGGUCCUGUGGGAGCGGCCCUGCCCACUUGUCAGCCCCGGCUCCUUCCCCGCCCCCCCCCCAGCCUCCCAGGUGUCCCCCAAACACGCUGAGCUCUUCCCGCCUCAGGGCCUUUGCACCUGCUGUACCCAUCCCCCAGAGCACUUUUCCCCCUGA
rnacentral:lncRNA from 1 species